CUCAUUAUAUAAGUUAUCGUUUAUUUGAUAGUAUCUUGCUACUUGGAUAACCGUGGUAAUUCUAGAGCUAAUACAUGCUAAAAAUCCCGACUUCGGAAGGGAUGUAUUUAUUAGAUUAAAAACCAAUGCCCUCUGGGCUCUCUUGGUGAAUCAUGAUAACUUCUCGAAUCGCAGGGCCUUGCGCCGGCGAUGGUUCAUUCAAAUUUCUUCCCUAUCAACUUUCGAUGUUUGGGUAGUGGCCAAACAUGGUUGCAACGGGUAACGGAGGGUUAGGGCUCGACCCCGGAGAAGGAGCCUGAGAAACGGCUACUACAUCCAAGGAAGGCAGCAGGCGCGCAAAUUACCCAAUCCCGAUCCGGGGAGGUAGUGACAAUAAAUACUGAUACAGGGCUCUUUUGGGUCUUGUAAUUGGAAUGAGUACAAUUUAAAUCCCUUAACGAGGAACAAUUGGAGGGCAAGUCUGGUGCCAGCAGCCGCGGUAAUUCCAGCUCCAAUAGCGUAUAUUAAAGUUGUUGUGGUUAAAAAGCUCGUAGUUGAACCUUGGGCCUGGCUGGCCGGUCCGCCUCACCGCGUGCACUGGUCCGGCCGGGCCUUUCCCUCUGUGGAACCCCAUGCCCUUCACUGGGUGUGGCGGGGAAACAGGACUUUUACUUUGAAAAAAUUAGAGUGCUCCAGGCAGGCCUAUGCUCGAAUACAUUAGCAUGGAAUAAUGAAAUAGGACGUGCGGUUCUAUUUUGUUGGUUUCUAGGACCGCCGUAAUGAUUAAUAGGGACAGUCGGGGGCAUCAGUAUUCAAUUGUCAGAGGUGAAAUUCUUGGAUUUAUUGAAGACUAACUACUGCGAAAGCAUUUGCCAAGGAUGUUUUCAUUAAUCAGGAACGAAAGUUAGGGGAUCGAAGACGAUCAGAUACCGUCGUAGUCUUAACCAUAAACUAUGCCGACUAGGGAUCGGACGAUGUUAUUUUUUGACUCGUUCGGCACCUUACGAGAAAUCAAAGUGCUUGGGCUCCAGGGGGAGUAUGGUCGCAAGGCUGAAACUUAAAGAAAUUGACGGAAGGGCACCACCAGGGGUAAACCUGACCUGUGAAGCCGCAGUCAACUCUGCUCCAGAAAGCCGCCCGAAAGGGUCGGUGGUGUUCCUAGGGGAGAGCUCUCCCCUAAACUAAUGGCUAGUCCUGCCGCCCGCGGCAGGGCGACACCCUCAAACUGACGGGGAACUCCUAAAGCCCUCGCUCCGGACAGGCGUCGGGAAACCGACGGCCUGCUCACCAGGCUAACGACCUCGGGUAUCGGAAGCAACGCGAGAGGAUGCUACAAUGGACAAUCCGCAGCCAAGCCCCUACGGUGCGGCCUCUACGGGGGUCGCAUACGGGGAAGGUUCAGAGACUUGACGGGGGUGGGUGGCGCGGGCUCUUGGGGUGCAAGCCGCGUGCUUGCUUGCAGGCCCAGGCGCCCGCCGCUGCCUAAGAUAAAGUCCGGGCGUGCGCGAAAGCGUGCGCGGCAACCACGCAACCCGCCGUUUCCAGCGGGUGCGAGGCCCCAGAAGUAAAAACAACCGGGAGCCUGCGGCUUAAUUUGACUCAACACGGGGAAACUCACCAGGUCCAGACACAAUGAGGAUUGACAGAUUGAGAGCUCUUUCUUGAUUUUGUGGGUGGUGGUGCAUGGCCGUUCUUAGUUGGUGGAGUGAUUUGUCUGCUUAAUUGCGAUAACGAACGAGACCUUAACCUGCUAAAUAGCCCGUAUUGCUUUGGCAGUACGCCGGCUUCUUAGA
rnacentral:rRNA from 1 species